GGGGAGAUACCCAAGCGGCCAAAGGGGGCAGACUGUAAAUCUGUUGCCACUGUGCUUCGGAGGUUCGAAUCCUCCUCUCCCCACCA
rnacentral:tRNA from 1 species